rnacentral:tRNA from 1 species
GAGUCCAUAGCUCAGUGGUAGAGUAUUUGACUGAAGAUCAAGAGGUCACUAAUUAACAUUUAGCAGGGCCCU